AUCUCCCUAAAUGCAGGGGCAUUAUCACACUAAUGUCUCCCGGACAACAUCGAAGAUCUCUCUGAAAAGGAAAUCUGUGAUUUUCUCGAUUCCAAAUGGAAAGAAAUGUCAUGUGACAAGUUAGAAGGAUUACAAGUAAAAGGGAGAACAGAUUAUUUUUGCCAAUCUUGCUUCAUCCUCCACUCAGAACCUAAAUUAUUGGACCACAAAAUAUCCUUAAACCUCACGUUCCACGAGGAAAAGGCAAAAUGUUGGUUCUGCGGCCAAAGUCUGUUCGUCACGAAAAGAGGGACGAGUGGAUGCAACAAAUG